rnacentral:rRNA from 1 species
AACGAACGCUGGCGGCAGGCUUAACACAUGCAAGUCGAACGCCCCGCAAGGGGAGCGGCGGACGGGUGAGUAACGCGUGGGAAUAUGCCCUUCUCUACGGAAUAGCCUCGGGAAACUGAGAGUAAUACCGUAUACGCCCUGUGGGGGAAAGAUUUAUCGGGGAAGGAUUAGCCCGCGUUGGAUUAGGUAGUUGGCGGGGUAAUGGCCUACCAAGCCGACGAUCCAUAGCUGGUUUGAGAGGAUGAUCAGCCACACUGGGACUGAGACACGGCCCAGACUCCUACGGGAGGCAGCAGUGGGGAAUCUUAGACAAUGGGGGCAACCCUGAUCUAGCCAUGCCGCGUGAGUGAUGAAGGCCUUAGGGUUGUAAAGCUCUUUCAGCUGGGAAGAUAAUGACGGUACCAGCAGAAGAAGCCCCGGCUAACUCCGUGCCAGCCGCCGCCGUAA